ACACACACACACACAUCACACACACGCACACACACACACACACACACUCAUACAUACACAAACACACAUAUGACACUAACAUAUUCAUAAACACUCGUAACUGUAUAAACACAGAUACACCCACACACACGCAUAUUACCCACACAAACACAGACACACACUCUCACACAAACAAGCAAGCACAAACACACAUUCACACACAACAACACACACACACACAGAAACAAACACACACACAUAUUACACACACACACACACAUC
rnacentral:lncRNA from 1 species